AGAGAGAGAGAGAGAGAGAGAGAGAGAGAGGUCCAGCGAGAGAGAGAAGAAAGAGAGAGCUCGAGUUCCAGAGUCCCAGAGAGAGAAGCCUGUACUCAUUUUUCUUGCACGCGUGCCACAGCUGUGGUCGCUGUGGCGAUGUUUCACUGCUCAGAAUGGAUUCGCCAGCUCAAAAACGUUCGUAUUAUAUUUAUAUUUUACUACACCACCACUGCCUCUGCCAGCUGUGCUGUCGCUGGAAAACAGCCUGCUU
ensembl:lncRNA